CCUACGGGCGGCUGCAGUGGGGAAUAUUGGACAAUGGGGGGAACCCUGAUCCAGCCAUGCCGCGUGUGUGAAGAAGGCCCUCGGGUUGUAAAGCACUUUCAGUGAGGAAGAACGCCUGGUGGUUAAUACCCAUCAGGAAAGACAUCACUCACAGAAGAAGCACCGGCUAACUCCGUGCCAGCAGCCGCGGUAAUACGGAGGGUGCGAGCGUUAAUCGGAAUUACUGGGCGUAAAGCGCGCGUAGGUGGCUUGAUAAGCCGGUUGUGAAAGCCCCGGGCUCAACCUGGGAACGGCAUCCGGAACUGUCCAGCUAGAGUGCAGGAGAGGAAGGUAGAAUUCCCGGUGUAGCGGUGAAAUGCGUAGAGAUCGGGAGGAAUACCAGUGGCGAAGGCGGCCUUCUGGACUGACACUGACACUGAGGUGCGAAAGCGUGGGUAGCAAACAGGAUUAGAUACCCGGGUAGUC
rnacentral:rRNA from 1 species